GAUGAAGAACGUAGCGAAAUGCGAUAAGUAAUGUGAAUUGCAGAAUUCAGUGAAUCAUCGAAUCUUUGAACGCACAUUGCGCCCGCCAGUAUUCUGGCGGGCAUGCCUGUUCGAGCGUCAUUUCAACCAUCAAGCCCCCGGCUUGUGUUGGGGACCUGCGGCUGCCGCAGGCCCUGAAAACCAGUGGCGGGCUCGCUAGUCACUCCGAGCGUAGUAGUUACAUCUCGCUCAGGGCGUGCUGCGGGUUCCGGCCGUUAAAAGCCCUAUUUACCCAAGGUUGACCUCGGAUCAGGUAGGAAGACCCGCUGAACUUAAGCAUAUCAAUAAGCGGAGGA
rnacentral:misc_RNA from 1 species